CAGUUCCCAAAUCAACACCAACAACCAAGAGGCAUCGCUAUUCUCUCGAUGGAAGUCCCCAAGUAUGAUAUUCACGACGGACAACGAACUCUGUCCUGGAGAUCGUCUGACAAUCGAGAGGCUCCCAGAUGGACAUAUUGAGGCACUCUGCGGAAACUUAAGUGGUAGAACAAUCCUCGUGGAUGUCAGCUUACUGAGGACUCUCACAUUCUCCACUACUCCUCAUGACGGAGGUGCUAGCAUAGGAUUCAGAGUGGGAAUCAAAGGUUUCUUGCUGGGCUAAAUAUGAGACGCCAGCUAAAACAUCACAAGACAGUUAAGCCCAUCUACACAGCAACUUGCGCGCGCAUAUCAAGACCUACUUGCAUUUAUGAGCAAGGACGUUACGUACCUACAUCAACUACAUGGAAAAUUCUUUCGCUUUUAUUAAUUCUAUUAAAAUUAGAUUUAUUCUGAUAAAGAAUCUGUGGUAAUUAUCGUUCCUGUUUUUUUUUUUUUUUUUUUUUUUUUUUUUUUUUUUUUUUUUUGGAGGCUACAAAUGCGCAAACAUGUAUCCAUAUCACUGGGAAAUAAAACUUUAAAUAAAAGUUGAAAGUUAGUAUCCAGAAGAUGGCUUUGGAUCUCUUAAAUAAAGUAAAGGAAUA